rnacentral:rRNA from 1 species
AUGGAAGGGGAGGAGGAGAUAGGCCUCGUCCUCGCCCGCGCCUCCGACCUUCGCUCCAGGAUCUCCGCCUGCGCUGCCGCCGCACGGCCCCCGCUGCGGCUGGGCGCCGGGGAGGAGGACGACGGCGGAGAGGAGGCGGAAGAGGAGGUGGAGAUGGAGAGCCUGGUAGGCAUCAACGACGCGCUCGAGUCGCUCGAGCGGCAGCUCGCCUCCCUGCAGGACCUCCAACACCAACAAAGAUAUGAACGAGAAACCGUCCUGAGCCAGAUUGAUCGCAGUCGAACAUCUCUCCUUAACAAGCUGAAAGAAUACAAGGGAGAGGACUGUGAAGCAAUCCACGAGGCUGCUGCUUUUGCUGGUGAAAAAAUCGAAAAUGAUGAUGGUCUCAUCCUACCUCCUUACUCGGGCCAUGUCACCAAUUCAUUUGUGCUCGAUGAUCUCUAUCCUGCAAACUACGUGUCCAAGCCCAAGUGCCUGCACAAUGGACUGCGUUCUAAUGGAAUGACUGAAGAUGGUACAGGGACAAACGGGGUGCAAAACAGAAUUCCUAUCAUGUCGAGCCGUAAUUCAGCAGGAGGGAUCAGAUCUUUGAUUGGAUGGUUGGCUAAAACAGCGGUCAUGAUUGUGGGCGCCGUAUCAAUCAUGAAGGCUGCUGGCUACGAGCCCACAAUAGGGAGGAGCGGCAUAAAACUGGACAUUGCAGGUCUGUUGGGUAAAGAGGCGGCUGGUGCAAAAGAGCAGGUUCCUCCUACUCUACAGUGCCCUCCUGGGAAGGUAAUGGUGCUUGGUGGAGAUGGCCGGGCGCACUGCGUUGUGAAGGAAAGAGUUGAGAUCCCCUUCGGCAGCAGCCUUGAUGCCCCAAAUGCAAGCUACGGCUUAGGUUGA